AACACAGCCAGAUGGGCGGGGUAUGUAUGUAUGUAUGUAUGUAUAAAUAAAUAAUUUAUUAUUUAUACCCCGCCCAUCUGGCUGGGUU